rnacentral:tRNA from 1 species
GCCCCCAUCGUCUAGCGGCCCAGGACGCCGCCCUUUCAAGGCGGUAGCGGGGAUUCGAAUUCCCCUGGGGGCA